ACGCUUUUUCCAUUUGCCACUCUUUUCUUCACUUUUGGCUUUGGGUACGUUACUGAUGAUUUUUCCUGAAAUUGCGCACACUUUUUUAAAAUUCUUUUCUUUUUCUUUUUCUUUUUUUGCGGUAUCCGUGAGUGCAUACCUAUUGUUUGCUCUUUUCCGAAUUAAUUAUGUUGUUAUUUGGGUGUGUGUAUAUUACCGC
rnacentral:lncRNA from 1 species